rnacentral:rRNA from 1 species
CCUACGGGAGGCAGCAGUGGGGAAUAUUGGGCAAUGGGCGCAAGCCUGACCCAGCAACGCCGCGUGAAGGAAGAAUGCUUUCGGGUUGUAAACUUCUUUUUUCAGGGACGAAGCAAGUGACGGUACCUGACGAAUAAGCCACGGCUAACUACGUGCCAGCAGCCGCGGUAAUACGUAGGUGGCAAGCGUUAUCCGGAUUUACUGGGUGUAAAGGGCGUGGAGGCGGGACUGCAAGUCAGAUGUGAAAAUCACGGGUUCAACCUGGGGACUGCAUUUGAAACUGUAGGUCUUGAGUACUGGAGAGGUAGACGGAAUUCCUAGUGUAGCGGUGAAAUGCGUAGAUAUUAGGAGGAACCCCAGUGGCGAAGGCGGUCUGCUGGACAGCAACUGACGCUGAGGCGCGAAAGCGUGGGGAGCAAACAGGAUUAGAUACCCUAGUAGUC